rfam:Ictidomys tridecemlineatus contig024623, whole genome shotgun sequence.
CGGGGUGUAGGUCAGUGGUAGAGCACUUGUCUGGCAUGCGUGAGGCCCUAGGUUCAAUUCCUAGCACCGCAA